CAGUAGCCACGGUAAUACAGAGGGUGCGAGCGUUAAUCGGAUUUACUGGGCGUAAAGCGUGUGUAGGUUGUUGUUCAAGUCAGUUGUGAAAUCCCUGGGCUCAACCUGGGAACUGCUUCUGAGACUGAACGACUAGAGUACGGUAGAGGGUGGUGGAAUUUCCGGUGUAGCGGUGAAAUGCGUAGAUAUCGGAAGGAACAUCAAUGGCGAAGGCAGCCACCUGGGCCUGUACUGACACUGAGACACGAAAGCGUGGGGAUCAAACAGGAUUAGAUACCCGUGUAGUCCCUGUCUCUUAUAC
rnacentral:rRNA from 1 species